UCGGACGUGGUGCAUGGUGCACGCCCCCACAUACUGGUUUGGAAGAUUGCGCAACAGUUGGCGGCGGGAGCCCUGGGUUCGACUCCCAGCGUCCGAA